GAGUAAUGUCUGGGAAACUGCCUGAUGGAGGGGGAUAACUACUGGAAACGGUGGCUAAUACCGCAUAACGUCGCAAGACCAAAGAGGGGGACCUUCGGGCCUCUUGCCAUCAGAUGUGCCCAGAUGGGAUUAGCUAGUUGGUGAGGUAACGGCUCACCAAGGCGACGAUCCCUAGCUGGUCUGAGAGGAUGACCAGCCACACUGGAACUGAGACACGGUCCAGACUCCUACGGGAGGCAGCAGUGGGGAAUAUUGCACAAUGGGCGCAAGCCUGAUGCAGCCAUGCCGCGUGUAUGAAGAAGGCCUUCGGGUUGUAAAGUACUUUCAGCGGGGAGGAAGGUGUUGUGGUUAAUAACCGCAGCAAUUGACGUUACCCGCAGAAGAAGCACCGGCUAACUCCGUGCCAGCAGCCGCGGUAAUACGGAGGGUGCAAGCGUUAAUCGGAAUUACUGGGCGUAAAGCGCACGCAGGCGGUCUGUCAAGUCGGAUGUGAAAUCCCCGGGCUCAACCUGGGAACUGCAUUCGAAACUGGCAGGCUUGAGUCUUGUAGAGGGGGGUAGAAUUCCAGGUGUAGCGGUGAAAUGCGUAGAGAUCUGGAGGAAUACCGGUGGCGAAGGCGGCCCCCUGGACAAAGACUGACGCUCAGGUGCGAAAGCGUGGGGAGCAAACAGGAUUAGAUACCCUGGUAGUCCACGCCGUAAACGAUGUCUACUUGGAGGUUGUGCCCUUGAGGCGUGGCUUCCGGAGCUAACGCGUUAAGUAGACCGCCUGGGGAGUACGGCCGCAAGGUUAAAACUCAAAUGAAUUGACGGGGGCCCGCACAAGCGGUGGAGCAUGUGGUUUAAUUCGAUGCAACGCGAAGAACCUUACCUGGUCUUGACAUCCACGGAAGUUUUCAGAGAUGAGAAUGUGCCUUCGGGAACCGUGAGACAGGUGCUGCAUGGCUGUCGUCAGCUCGUGUUGUGAAAUGUUGGGUUAAGUCCCGCAACGAGCGCAACCCUUAUCCUUUGUUGCCAGCGGUCCGGCCGGGAACUCAAAGGAGACUGCCAGUGAUAAACUGGAGGAAGGUGGGGAUGACGUCAAGUCAUCAUGGCCCUUACGACCAGGGCUACACACGUGCUACAAUGGCGCAUACAAAGAGAAGCGACCUCGCGAGAGCAAGCGGACCUCAUAAAGUGCGUCGUAGUCCGGAUUGGAGUCUGCAACUCGACUCCAUGAAGUCGGAAUCGCUAGUAAUCGUGGAUCAGAAUGCCACGGUGAAUACGUUCCCGGGCCUUGUACACACCGCCCGUCACACCAUGGGAGUGGGUUGCAAAAGAAGUAGGUAGCUUAACCUUCGGGAGGGCGCUUACCACUUUGUGAUUCAUGACUGGGGUGAAGUCGUAACAAGGUAACCGUAGGGGAACCUGCGGUUGGAUCACCUCCUUACCUUAAAGAA
rnacentral:rRNA from 1 species